GGCGUUGUCGGUAUGCUGGCGUUUAGCGCGGCUAUGGCUCGUCGGAUUGAGGGUUGGUUCCUGCCACUUUCAGAUCUUUUCGGUUGAACAAACAAAAAAAAUCAUACCGGACUUCAAACUAAAUUAAAAAGGGGGUAAAAAGAAGCCUGAAACAUGUCAACAAAAAAGUAAAAAAAAGAAAACGUUCGCCUUAACUACAACCAAAUUCCAAACUUACAUUAGUUUUCACCACAGAGACAGUGCUCCUGGCGGCUGAUCAGCCAGGAGAUAGCCCUCCCUCCGAGAACACCUCUCGCCAUGACGUCUACUCAUACUUGACGUCCCAGAUCUGACCCUUGACUUACCACAUUUUAUAUCAUUACCACCACCUUUUAAAAAGGGCUUUAAGCCAAGGACAUAUUUAUCUUUUCUAUAUAAAAUUGGUACAUUUUAUAUAAACUACUUUAAAUACCCAAAUAACAAUUCGUAGAAAAAAUUACAUGCUAAUUUUAACGUUUGCGUUCAAAUUUAAUAAUGAAUUCAAUUCAAUGAAUAAAUACAAUUUUGCCAAAAAUUACAAAAAAAAAACUUUCCUUUUUCUUCUUUUAGACUGCGCUUUCUGAUGACAAAAAUUAGGGUGCAAUAAAGGCAGCUUGCAAUUGUGGUUCUUCCCAACAAGUAAGUACGAAAGGCAAACAAAGGUGGAGUGUCGAUAGCACUUAAAAUCUACGAACGGAUUAAAAGCCUGGUUACCUAACCUUGAAUAGAGCUCUGUUCAAUGUCGUGUACCUGCAGACUAACCAAAAGAAAAAACCGCGGAAUUUAAUUAUGAUGCUUCGUCGUCCGCCUGUCUGUCCGAGGUUUCUUGUAUUAAAUGUCGAUUGGGAAUACCAAGCCACGCUGGGUUAGCAAUGGCGCAAAAUCAGCGGCUCCCUCGAUGGAUUGGAUGGGCGAUGGUGUGGCUUGUAGGCUCCAAUUCUUCAUGAAUUUUUAGGUUUAAGAUUUAUUUUCUUGCUUUAGAUUUUUAGUUAAUUGUUUUGGUUUUUUUUUCAAUUUUGUUAAAUUGUUUCCAAACUUUGUUUAAUUUUAAAAAAAGUUCAAUUUUACUUUUAAUUUUCAAUUUUUGUGAAAACUAUUUGUUUUGUUAUGAGUUUUCUUUCAACUUUUAGCCUUUUGUUGUUAAAUUUUGCUUAAUUAUAUUAAGGCCUCUAAUUUUGUUAAAAAAAGUUUGUAUUUCGUGUUGUUAGUAUAUGUGUUUCAAACAAAUAAAAACAUUGAAUUCACUUCUC